UCAUUGCUGGCUCAGACGGUAAAGCAUCUGCCUGCAACGCAGGAGACCCUGGUUCGAUCCCUGGGUCAGGAA
rnacentral:tRNA from 1 species